rnacentral:rRNA from 1 species
UACGUAGGGACCAAGCGUUGUUCGGAUUUACUGGGCGUAAAGGGCGCGUAGGCGGCGUGGUAAGUCACUUGUGAAAUCUCUGAGCUUAACUCAGAACGGCCAAGUGAUACUGCUGUGCUAGAGUGCAGAAGGGGCAAUCGGAAUUCUUGGUGUAGCGGUGAAAUGCGUAGAUAUCAAGAGGAACACCUGAGGUGAAGACGGGGUUGCUGGGCUGACACUGACGCUGAUGCGCGAAAGCCAGGGGAGCAAACGGGG